CUCCGGCAGUGGCGGACGGGUGAGUAACGCGUAGGUAUCUAUCCAUGGGUGGGGGAUAACGCCGGGAAACUGGUGCUAAUACCGCAUGACACCUGAGGGUCAAAGGCGCAAGUCGCCUGUGGAGGAGCCUGCGUCCGAUUAGCUUGUUGGUGGGGUAAUGGCCUACCAAGGCGAUGAUCGGUAGCUGGUCUGAGAGGAUGAUCAGCCACACUGGGACUGAGACACGGCCCAGACUCCUACGGGAGGCAGCAGUGGGGAAUAUUGGACAAUGGGCGAAAGCCUGAUCCAGCAAUGCCGCGUGGAUGAAGAAGGUCUUCGGA
rnacentral:rRNA from 1 species